UACGUAGGGUGCAAGCGUUAAUCGGAAUUACUGGGCGUAAAGCGUGCGCAGGCGGUUUUGUAAGCCAGAUGUGAAAUCCCCGGGCUUAACCUGGGAAUGGCAUUUGGGACUGCAAGGCUGGAGUGUGGCAGAGGAGACUGGAAUUCCUGGUGUAGCAGUGAAAUGCGUAGAUAUCAGGAGGAAUACCGAUGGCGAAGGCAGGUCUCUGGGCUGACACUGACGCUCAUGCACGAAAGCGUGAGGAGCAAACAGG
rnacentral:rRNA from 1 species